CUUAAAUCAAUAGACACGACUAAGCAUGUAGAUCUACAGGCGGAUUGCUGGCGGACGGGGGUUCGAUCCCCCCCGCCUCCACCA
rnacentral:tmRNA from 1 species